AUUGAACGCUGGCGGCAUGCUUUACACAUGCAAGUCGAACGGCAGCGCGGGGCAACCUGGCGGCGAGUGGCGAACGGGUGAGUAAUAUAUCGGAACGUACCCAGAAGUUGGGGAUAACGUAGCGAAAGUUACGCUAAUACCGCAUACGAUCUACGGAUGAAAGUAGGGGACCGCAAGGCCUUAUGCUUUUGGAGCGGCCGAUAUCUGAUUAGCUAGUUGGUGAGGUAAAGGCUCACCAAGGCGACGAUCAGUAGCUGGUCUGAGAGGACGACCAGCCACACUGGAACUGAGACACGGUCCAGACUCCUACGGGAGGCAGCAGUGGGGAAUUUUGGACAAUGGGCGCAAGCCUGAUCCAGCAAUGCCGCGUGAGUGAAGAAGGCCUUCGGGUUGUAAAGCUCUUUUGUCAGGGAAGAAACGGUAGAGGCUAAUAUCCUUUGCUAAUGACGGUACCUGAAGAAUAAGCACCGGCUAACUACGUG
rnacentral:rRNA from 1 species